CAAUUAACAGCUAAUUUAGAACUGUUACUGACCAGGGGGAAUCCGACUGUUUAAUUAAAACAAAGCAUUGUGAUGUUCUCAAUAAGGAUUUUAACACAAUGUGAUUUCUGCCCAAGUGCUCUGAAUGUCAAAGUGAAGAAAUUCAAACAAGCGCGGGUAAACGGCGGGAGUAACUAUGACUCUCUUAAGGUAGCCAAAUGCCUCGUCAUCUAAUUAGUGACGCGCAUGAAUGGAUCAACGAGAUUCCCCACUGUCCCUACUUACUAUCUGGUGAAACCGCAGCCAAGGGAACGGACUUGGUAAUAUCAGCGGGGAAAGAAGACCCUGUUGAGCUUGACUCUAGUCCGACUUUGUGAAAUAUCUUUAGGGGUGUAGUAAUAAGUGGGAGGGCAACCAAUCUUGAAAUA
rnacentral:rRNA from 1 species